AUAUCAUAUAAAUAGUUAAGAAACAUAAUUUUACCUGUAACGUCCUAUUAUCAAUCUUUACAUCCAAUUCUAGUUUCUUUAAGGUUUUUGACAUCAUUCUUAACGCUAAAAAUACCUGCCUACCGACUAACUAUUAAGUAAAUCGGGUAGAUUGAUUUCAAAACGAGUCCUUUUUUUCCGAGUUUUUUCUCUUUCUACCAGGUUUAAUAGAGGAACAAUAAAAAUGUUAAUUAUGUCUACUGUAGUAAUGUUAGCGUAAUUUCUU